AUGAACGCUGGCGGCGUGCCUCAUACAUGCAGGUCGAGCGAACGGACGAGAAGCUUGCUUCUCUGAUGUUAGCGGCGGACGGGUGAGUAACACGUGGAUAACCUACCUAUAAGACUGGGAUAACUUCGGGAAACCGGAGCUAAUACCGGAUAAUAUUUUGAACCGCAUGGUUCAAAAGUGAAAGACGGUCUUGCUGUCACUUAUAGAUGGAUCCGCGCUGCAUUAGCUAGUUGGUAAGGUAACGGCUUACCAAGGCAACGAUGCAUAGCCGACCUGAGAGGGUGAUCGGCCACACUGGAACUGAGACACGGUCCAGACUCCUACGGGAGGCAGCAGUAGGGAAUCUUCCGCAAUGGGCGAAAGCCUGACGGAGCAACGCCGCGCGAGUGAUGAAGGUCUUCGGAUCGUAAAACUCUGUUAUUAGGGAAGAACAUAUGUGUAAGUAACUGUGCACAUCUUGACGGUACCUAAUCAGAAAGCCACGGCUAACUACGU
rnacentral:rRNA from 1 species